rnacentral:rRNA from 1 species
AGAGUUUGAUCCUGGCUCAGGAUGAACGCUGGCGGCGUGCCUAACACAUGCAAGUUGAGCGAUUUACUUCGGUAAAGAGCGGCGGACGGGUGAGUAACGCGUGGGUAACCUACCCUGUACACACGGAUAACAUACCGAAAGGUAUGCUAAUACGGGAUAAUAUAUUUGAGAGGCAUCUCUUAAUAUCAAAGGUGAGCCAGUACAGGAUGGACCCGCGUCUGAUUAGCUAGUUGGUAAGGUAACGGCUUACCAAGGCGACGAUCAGUAGCCGACCUGAGAGGGUGAUCGGCCACAUUGGAACUGAGACACGGUCCAAACUCCUACGGGAGGCAGCAGUGGGGAAUAUUGCACAAUGGGCGAAAGCCUGAUGCAGCAACGCCGCGUGAGUGAUGAAGGCCUUCGGGUCGUAAAACUCUGUCCUCAAGGAAGAUAAUGACGGUACUUGAGGAGGAAGCCCCGGCUAACUACGUGCCAGCAGCCGCGGUAAUACGUAGGGGGCUAGCGUUAUCCGGAUUUACUGGGCGUAAAGGGUGCGUAGGCGGUCUUUCAAGUCAGGAGUGAAAGGCUACGGCUCAACCGUAGUAAGCUCUUGAAACUGGGAGACUUGAGUGCAGGAGAGGAGAGUGGAAUUCCUAGUGUAGCGGUGAAAUGCGUAGAUAUUAGGAGGAACACCAGUUGCGAAGGCGGCUCUCUGGACUGUAACUGACGCUGAGGCACGAAAGCGUGGGGAGCAAACAGGAUUAGAUACCCUGGUAGUCCACGCUGUAA